GCCCCUAUAGCUCAGCGGUAGAGCGCGUCACUAGUACACGUGAUCAUCCAUGUCAUGACGAGGUCUUGCGUUCAAUUCGCAAUGGGGGCA